rnacentral:tRNA from 1 species
GGCGCGAUGGCAGAGUGGCCAAUUGCGGCGGUGCGCAAAACCGCCUUCCGCCGGUUCGAAUCCGGCUCGCGCCU